AAAAAAAAAAAAAGAUAAUGAAGAAAAAAAAUAGAAAUUAAUACUAUAAAUAAAUCACUAACCAAAAAUAUAGUUGAAUAAAAAUUUUUAUUUUAUGUCAAAGAAAAAGCAAAUUAAAUAAAAAAGAUGAGAAACAAAAAGAAGAUGAAUAAGAAAAAAGAAGAGAAAGAAAAAGAUAAUGAAAAGAAUAGAUAAGAAAGAAAAAGAUGAUGAAG
rnacentral:misc_RNA from 1 species